rnacentral:rRNA from 1 species
CCUANGGGUGGCUGCAGUCGAGGAUUAUUCGCAAUGGGCGCAAGCCUGACGAUGCGACGCCGUGUGAACGAAGAAGGCCUUCGGGUUGUAAAGUUCUUUCGCCCGGGAACAAGAAGAGUAGACGAAUAGUCUACAAUUUUGAUGGUACUGGGUAAAGAAGCACUGGCUAACUCCGUGCCAGCAGCUGCGGUAAUACGGAGGGUGCAAGCAUUAAUCGGAUUUAUUGGGCGUAAAGGGUGCGUAGGUUAUUAUAUAGGUUAGGUAUGAAAUUUCGAGGCUCAACUUCGAAGCGGUACUUAAAACUGUAUGAAUUGAGGGUAGAUGGGGAAAAUGGAAUUCCACGUGUAGCGGUGAAAUGCGUAGAUAUGUGGAAGAACACCGGAGGCGAAAGCGAUUUUCUAAUUUACACCUGACACUGAGGCACGAGAGCAAGGGGAGCAAACAUGAUUAGAUACCCCGNUANUC